AAACCAACAGGGAUUGCCUCAGUAACGGCGAGUGAAGCGGCAAAAGCUCAAAUUUGAAACCCUCGGGAUUGUAAUUUGAAGAUUUGGCAUUGGAGAAAGCUAACCCAAGUUGCUUGGAAUAGUACGUCAUAGAGGGUGACAACCCCGUCUGGCUAACCGUUCUCCAUGUAUUGCCUUAUCAAAGAGUCGAGUUGUUUGGGAAUGCAGCUCAAAGUGGGUGGUAAACUCCAUCUAAAGCUAAAUACUGGUGAGAGACCGAUAGCGAACAAGUACUGUGAAGGAAAGGUGAAAAGAACUUUGAAAAGAGAGUGAAAUAGUAUGUGAAAUUGUUGAUAGGGAAGGAAAUGAGUGGAGAGUGGCCGAGGUUUCAGCCGCCCCUCGUGGGCGGUGUACUGCCGACGCCGAGUCAUCGAUAGCGAGACGAGGGUUACAAAUGGGAGCGCCUUUCGGGCGUUCUCCCCUAACCCUCCACACUGCCACCGACGACAAACCCCC
rnacentral:rRNA from 1 species